rnacentral:rRNA from 1 species
UACGAGGGGUGCAAGCGUUGCUCGGAAUUAUUGGGCGUAAAGGGUAGGUAGGUGGUCUCAUUUGUCAGGGGUGAAAGCCUUGGGCUUAACCCAAGAAGUGCCCUUGAAACGGUGAGACUGGAGUCUUGGAGAGGGUCGUGGAAUUCCCGGUGUAGCGGUGAAAUGCGCAGAUAUCGGGAAGAACACCCGUGGCGAAGGCGGCACUCUGGGACGGUACUGACGCUGAGACGCGAAAGCGUGGGGAGCGAACAGG